CAACAACAGCCUUUCCUCCUGGGCUUUCUCGGGGAAGAAAUGAUUCGGCAAAAAUUCAAGCUAGAGGAAUUUGUCAAACCUGUCUUGCCCCAACCAGAAGACCUGCUGACCUCUCAGGCUAAAAAUACCAUGAUGCAUCUCACCGGCCAGAACCACCGUCUAGCGUCUAAAAAUGAAUGCCAUUCCAAAACACCUAAACUCCAUCUGUCAGCCACACAGGGAGGGGAAGAGGAGGUGGUGAUGGUGGGUCCGCUUAAGACUGGCUCUGCCAUGCUGCCAACACUGGGCCAAGAGGGCCCUGCAACCCAGAGAGACUCCUCGCUCCUAGUCAGGUCUUCCCUGCCUGGCUCAUCCCGACCGAGGGAGGGGGAGAACCUGCCUCUGCGGCGGCCUCUGAAGCUGGCCCCUCUGGAACUGCCCAGGGAGGUGCAGAAGGCCCAUAGACAGAAGAUGAAGGGGAUUGGGCUGGAGGCCAAGGCUGCUUCCCGCAAACUGGACACUACAGUGGGGGACCAACCCUGCCCCAGGAAGGUGAAGGCCUGUGGGGUGAGAGGAGAGAGACCAGAACUGGUUAAGGGUGCAGCAGAGUGUGUCUCCACCCCAGCCCCACGUCCCCUGCCCCUGAAUGAAACAGCACCCAGAGUCCAGCGACAGCAGAAGGUUCUGAGAGCGGAGCUUGCUCAUGCCAACCCAAUCCAGAGACACACAGGAGAAAGACUCUCAGAAGAUAUCGGCUCUACCAUUAAAGACUUCCAUCCUCCUCCUAGAAGCAAACCAGUCUCUCCCUCUGCCUCUUUCCCCAUCAGUGCCAAAGCUCAGGCCCAGCAGGCGCUAGCACCACGUGGCGAGGAGAGCGUAUGCCAAGCGGCUGGCCCGUUCCAGCAGGAGACCGGCAAAAAGAGGCUGCGUCUGAGGAGGGCAGAGCGCCUCAAGGAGGAUCAGAGCAAAUCUAACAUGUCAACAGAAGGAUUACAUGGGGAAGAGGCCAAGCUGGCCCAAGGGUUCCAGCAGGGAAAAGCCCUGAGGGUAGAGAAGACAGAGAAGACUAGGAGGACAGAGAAAGCCCUGAAGGAGGCCAGUCGCAUGCUGGAGAAGGCUUC
rnacentral:lncRNA from 1 species